GAGAAUAAGACUGUCUCACUCAUACCCAUAAAAAUCUAUCUUCAGGUGAAGAAGCCUGAAUUAAUAUAAAAGACAAGAAGACCCUGUCGAGCUUUAGCAUACUAUAUGAGCCUUACGCCCAUCCACACCUUCCCUCAUAUCCAGGCUUUUGUUGGGGCGACAACGGAACCUAUCAAUCUUCCGUUAAAAUACAGACCUUACGUCACCCAAAUGAUCCUUUACUGAUCACAAGAUCUAGCUACCGCAGGGAUAACAGACUAAUCUUCCUCCGGAGCCCAAAUCUACAGGAAGGCUUGGCACCUCGAUGUUGGCUUAGGAAAAUCCCCUAGAUGAAGCAGUCU
rnacentral:rRNA from 1 species